GGCCUUGUGGCGCAAUGGUAGCGUGCUGUCUUCCGGUGGCAGUGGUUGCGGGUUCGAGUCCCGCCAGGGUCU
rfam:Nadsonia fulvescens var. elongata DSM 6958 unplaced genomic scaffold NADFTscaffold_1, whole genome shotgun sequence.